rnacentral:rRNA from 1 species
AUUGAACGCUGGCGGCAGGCCUAACACAUGCAAGUCGAACGGUAACAGGAAGAAGCUUGCUUCUUUGCUGACGAGUGGCGGACGGGUGAGUAAUGUCUGGGAAACUGCCUGAUGGAGGGGGAUAACUACUGGAAACGGUAGCUAAUACCGCAUAACGUCGCAAGACCAAAGAGGGGGACCUUCGGGCCUCUUGCCAUCGGAUGUGCCCAGAUGGGAUUAGCUAGUAGGUGGGGUAACGGCUCACCUAGGCGACGAUCCCUAGCUGGUCUGAGAGGAUGACCAGCAACAGUUGAACUGAGACACGGGCCAGCCUCCUACGGGAGGCAGCAGGGGGGAAUAUUGCACAAUGGGGGCAAGCCUGAAGGAGCCAGGGCGGGGGUAGGAAGAAGGCCUUUGGGUUGUAAAGUACUUUCAGCGGGGGGGAAGGGGGAAAAGUUAAUACCUUUGCCCAUUGACGUUACCCGCAGAAGGAGCACCGGCUAACCCCGU